rnacentral:rRNA from 1 species
UACGAAGGGGCUAGCGUUGCUCGGAAUCACUGGGCGUAAAGGGUGCGUAGGCGGGUCUUUAAGUCAGGGGUGAAAUCCUGGAGCUCAACUCCAGAACUGCCUUUGAUACUGAAGAUCUUGAGUUCGGGAGAGGUGAGUGGAACUGCGAGUUGUAGAGGUGAAAUUCGUAGAUAUUCGCAAGAACACCAGUGGCGAAGGCGGCUCACUGGCCCGAUACUGACGCUGAGGCACGAAAGCGUGGGGAGCAAACAGG